CCUACGGGAGGCAGCAGUGGGGAAUAUUGGACAAUGGGGGCAACCCUGAUCCAGCCAUGCCGCGUGAGUGAAGAAGGCCUUUGGGUUGUAAAGCUCUUUCGACGGGGACGAUGAUGACGGUACCCGUAUAAGAAGCCCCGGCUAACUUCGUGCCAGCAGCCGCGGUAAUACGAAGGGGGCUAGCGUUGUUCGGAAUUACUGGGCGUAAAGCGCGCGUAGGCGGUAGUCCAUGUCAGAGGUGAAAUCCCGGAGCUCAACUCCGGAACUGCCUUUGAAACGGGACUGCUAGAGUCCGAGAGAGGAUGGCGGAAUUCCUAGUGUAGAGGUGAAAUUCGUAGAUAUUAGGAAGAACACCGGUGGCGAAGGCGGCCAUCUGGCUCGGUACUGACGCUCAGGCGCGAAAGCGUGGGGAUCAAACAGGAUUAGAUACCCUGGUAGUCCACGCUGUAAACGAUGAGUGCUAGUUGUUGGGAAGUUUACUUCUCAGUGACGAAGCUAACGCGAUAAGCACUCCGCCUGGGGAGUACGGCCGCAAGGUUAAAACUACGAAGUAUAGCGNGNGAGAGCGACGACGACGACACGGAGGAGAG
rnacentral:rRNA from 1 species